UACGUAGGGUGCGAGCGUUAAUCGGAAUUACUGGGCGUAAAGCGUGCGUAGGCGGUUCGUUUAGUUCGUUGUGAAAGCCCCGGGCUCAACCUGGGAAUGGCAAUGGAAACUGGCGGGCUGGAGUAUGGCAGAGGGGGGUGGAAUUCCGCGUGUAGCAGUGAAAUGCGUAGAGAUGCGGAGGAACACCGAUGGCGAAGGCAGCCCCCUGGGCCAAUACUGACGCUCAGGCACGAAAGCGUGGGGAGCAAACAGG
rnacentral:rRNA from 1 species